rnacentral:rRNA from 1 species
UACGUAGGGUGCAAGCGUUGUCCGGAAUUAUUGGGCGUAAAGAGCUCGUAGGCGGUUCGUCGCGUCGGCUGUGAAAACCCGGAGCUCAACUCCGGGCCUGCAGUCGAUACGGGCGGACUUGAGUGUUGCAGGGGAGACUGGAAUUCCUGGUGUGGCGGUGAAAUGCGCAGAUAUCAGGAGGAACACCGGUGGCGAAGGCGGGUCUCUGGGCAACUACUGACGCUGAGGAGCGAAAGCGUGGGGAGCGAACAGG